rnacentral:sRNA from 1 species
GGUUUGAUGAUGAGUUCUUCGUCUUGUUCCUCUUAUGUUUCUUCUUGGCCAAGACAUUUGUUCUU